rnacentral:rRNA from 1 species
CCUACGGGUGGCAGCAGUGAGGAAUAUUGGUCAAUGGCCGGAAGGCUGAACCAGCCAAGCCGCGUGAAGGACGAAGGUGCCAAGCAUUGUAAACUUCUUUUGUCAAGGGACAAAAUCAGGCUCGAGAGCCUGACCGAGGGUACUUGAAGAAAAAGCAUCGGUUAACUCCGUGCCAGCAGCCGCGGUAAUACGGAGGAUGCGAGCGUUAUCCGAAUUAAUUGGGUUAAACGGUUACGUCGGCGGACUGUUAAGUCAGGGUUAAACGCCCGGGGCUCACCCCCGGCGAGCCGUUGAAACUGGCUGUCUUGAGAUGUCGAGAGGUAUGCGGAAUGCGCAGUGUAGCGGUGAAAUGCUUAGAUAUUGCGCAGAACACCGAUUGCGAAGGCAGCAAACCGGCGGCGAUCUGACGCUGAGGCACGAAAGCGUGGGUAUCGAACAGGAUUAGAUACCCGGGUAGUC